GACCGCUCCGGUAGCCUAGUUGUUAGAGCAUCCGCCUCGGAUGCGGGAGGUUGUUGGUUCGAAAUCCGCUUAAGUCA